CAGCUCGGCGACUCGAGCCAUUCCCCUCACCAUCCAUCAAUCCAUCUUAUUUUUGCUGCAUAUUAAAGCAGUUGGAGACAUCAGUCAACUUCAUCCCUGGACACGCCUCUCUGAGCGGCAUGCAGGAUCUUAGUUCCUGGACCGGGGAUGGAACCCGUGCCCCCUGCAGUGGAAACACAGAGUCCUGGACUGCCUGGACCCCAGUUUCUUUAUUUCAGAGUGGCUUACCAAGUUCCUCUAAAAGUAUGAUGUCAACAUGAUUUAUGAGUAAAUUUUAUAUUUUUAGCUUUAGACUCAAGGAAUAAAUUUGAGUGGCAUA